UACGUAGGGGGCUAGCGUUGUCCGGAAUCAUUGGGCGUAAAGAGCGUGUAGGCGGCUUGGUAAGUCCGCUGUGAAAGUCCAGGGCUCAACCCUGGAAAGCCAGUGGAAACUGUCAAGCUAGAGUCCGGAAGAGGCGAGUGGAACUCCUGGUGUAGCGGUGAAAUGCGCAGAUAUCAGGAAGAACACCAAUGGCGAAGGCAGCUCGCUGGGACGGUACUGACGCUGAGGAGCGAAAGCGUGGGGAGCGAACAGG
rnacentral:rRNA from 1 species